rnacentral:rRNA from 1 species
CACAGGCCCGGUGAAAUUGCAGUACGAGUAAAGAUGCUCGUUACGCGCGGCAGGACGAAAAGACCCCGGGACCUUCACUAUAGCUUGGUAUUGGUGUUUGGUUCGGUUUGUGUAGGAUAGGUGGGAGACUGUGAAGUGGUCACGCUAGUGGUUGUGGAGUCGAAAGUUGAAAAUACCACUCUGAUCGGAUUGAGCACCUGAACCUUGGCCCAUGAUCUGGGUUGGGGACAGUGCCUGGUGGGUAGUUUAACUGGGGCGGUUGCCUCCUAAAGUGUAACGGAGGCGCCCAAAGGUUCCCUCAGCCUGGUUGGCAAUCAGGUGGUGAGUGUAAGUGCACAAGGGAGCUUGACUGUGAGACUGAC